GAUGAACGCUGGCGGCGUGCCUAAUACAUGCAAGUCGAGCGAACAGACGAGGAGCUUGCUCCUCUGACGUUAGCGGCGGACGGGUGAGUAACACGUGGAUAACCUACCUAUAAGACUGGGAUAACUUCGGGAAACCGGAGCUAAUACCGGAUAAUAUAUUGAACCGCAUGGUUCAAUAGUGAAAGACGGUUUUGCUGUCACUUAUAGAUGGAUCCGCGCCGCAUUAGCUAGUUGGUAAGGUAACGGCUUACCAAGGCAACGAUGCGUAGCCGACCUGAGAGGGUGAUCGGCCACACUGGAACUGAGACACGGUCCAGACUCCUACGGGAGGCAGCAGUAGGGAAUCUUCCGCAAUGGGCGAAAGCAUGACGGAGCGACGCCGCGUGAGUGAUGAAGGUCUUCGGAUCGUAAAACUCUGUUAUUAGGGAAGAACAAAUGUGUAAGUAACUAUGCACGUCUUGACGGUACCUAAUCAGAAAGCCACGGCUAACUACGUG
rnacentral:rRNA from 1 species